GCCCCUGUGGUGAAAUGGUAGACGCGCUCGACUCAAAAUCGAGUGGAGAAAUCCGUGCUGGUUCGAGUCCGGCCAGGGGCACCA
rnacentral:tRNA from 3 species